rnacentral:rRNA from 1 species
AUUGAACGCUGGCGGCAUGCUUUACACAUGCAAGUCGAACGGCAACGCGGGCUUCGGCCUGGCGGCGAGUGGCGAACGGGUGAGUAAUGCAUCGGAACGUGCCCAGUAGUGGGGGAUAGCCCGGCGAAAGCCGGAUUAAUACCGCAUACGACCUGAGGGUGAAAGCGGGGGACCGAAAGGCCUCGCGCUAUUGGAGCGGCCGAUGUCGGAUUAGCUAGUUGGUGGGGUAAAGGCUUACCAAGGCGACGAUCCGUAGCUGGUCUGAGAGGACGACCAGCCACACUGGGACUGAGACACGGCCCAGACUCCUACGGGAGGCAGCAGUGGGGAAUUUUGGACAAUGGGGGCAACCCUGACGCAGCCAUGCCGCGUGCGGGAAGAAGGCCUUCGGGUUGUAAACCGCUUUUGUUCGGGAAGAAAACCUCUGGGCUAAUACCCCGGGGGGAUGACGGUACCGGAAGAGUAAGCACCGGCUAACUACGUG